UACAGAGGUCUCAAGCGUUGUUCGGAUUCAUUGGGCGUAAAGGGUGCGUAGGCGGCGCGGUAAGUCGGGUGUGAAAUCUCGGAGCUUAACUCCGAAACUGCAUUCGAUACUGCCGUGCUUGAGGACUGGAGAGGAGACUGGAAUUUACGGUGUAGCGGUGAAAUGCGUAGAUAUCGUAAGGAAGACCAGUGGCGAAGGCGGGUGACCUGGGA
rnacentral:rRNA from 1 species